rnacentral:piRNA from 1 species
UAGAACAGCACUCCAAGGUUCCAGAUCUCAG